AUUGAACGCUGGCGGCAGGCUUAACACAUGCAAGUCGAACGGUAGCACAAAGGAGCUUGCUCCUUGGGUGACGAGUGGCGGACGGGUGAGUAAUGCUUGGGAAUCUGGCUCAUGGAGGGGGAUAACUACGGGAAACUGUAGCUAAUACCGCGUAAUAUCUUCGGAUUAAAGUGUGGGACCUUCGGGCCACAUGCCAUGAGAUGAGCCCAAGUGGGAUUAGGUAGUUGGUGGGGUAAAGGCCUACCAAGCCGACGAUCUCUAGCUGGUCUGAGAGGAUGACCAGCCACACUGGAACUGAGACACGGUCCAG
rnacentral:rRNA from 1 species